rnacentral:tRNA from 1 species
CUAUUCGGAGGUUCGRAUCCUUCCGUCCCAG